rnacentral:lncRNA from 1 species
CCUGGGUGAGAAAAGGAAGGCGUGGGGCUGGAUCGUGGUGCACGGUGAAAACCUAGCCACCAAUCCCUCGCAUCCCCGAACAACCAAUCCCUCCGCUCCCCUCGAGCCCCGCUCCCCUCCUCUCCUGCCCUCCCCUGCGUUGCCGCCUCCUCCCCUUCUCCCCUGCUCUCCACUACGCCGCCUCCUCCGCCCUUUCACUUUUCUCUCCCGCGGCGGCGACGAUCUGCAGGCAAAAGGCGACGCCGACGGUGCUCGAUUCGAUCUGCAGGAGAGAGAGAAGAUAAGAGGGAGAGAGAGAGAAGGAAGGAGAGGAGGGAGAACUCCGUUGCCGCCACGUGCCGUGCUUCUGGAUCGAGCGCUGCCUGACCAAGGGAUAAGAGUAUGAGGUAAAACUAGCCACCAUGCUCCUGUGCGGGCUGCAUCCCCACAUCUCUCGUUUCAUUAUUUCACCAUCGCUGCCUCUUCUCCUCUUCGUUGCUCUGCUUCUUCCCCUGAUUCCUCUUUUUCAUGUUUUCUCUUUGUGGCGCCGCCGGGGAUGAGAGGAGCAGCUGCUGAAGCAGGUGCGGCGCUGGUGCACUGCUGGCGAAGCGGUCGUCGACGGUGCCGUCGACGUCGUCCUUGGCAGAAGGUAAGCCAAGAUCAAUCUCUCACAAUAUUCCUUUGUCGUCGAUGUUCUUAUGAAACUUAGUGAUUGGACUUUCUCUGUUAUGUUUCACACAUUGCUACUUUUAGUUAUCCCCAUUGGCUUGCGGAUAUGCUCCUGCUGAGUUGUUCUUGUUUAUUUUCUCUAUCCAACAUCAUUGCAGGUUGGUGCUUCCUCUCCUUCUCACUGCAGCUACCUAUGCCUGUAUUAUUCUAGGAUUUUGCAAGUUAAAUACUCAUGUGUGCUGAACUGAAAAGUUCUCUAUGCAACAUCUAUUGCAGGUUGGUGUUUCCUACCUAUGCCUCUAUUAUUCUACGAUUUUGAAAGUUAAUUGCUCAUGUGUGCUGAAUUGAAAAGCUCAAUGAAAGGCACUUAUUUCUAUGCACAAAUGCUUUUGUUGCUAUAAGAAUAUGUAGAGAAGAAAGCAUUUAGCACUGCUGCCCCUGCUGUACAUAAUUAGAGGAAUAGUUUGGUUCAGUUAGAGGAAUUGGUGUUUUUGGAUAGUGAUGUUUGGGCCAAUUCUGGGCUGAUCAGUCCAUAAUUUCAAGAGUCUCCAAAUAUAAGUUGUAGUGUAGGUCUCAAGCUUUCCAAAGAGUAUUUGUUUGUGCUUUUUGGCCGGGCAGUUUCAGAGCAGCCAUCAAUUUAAUGUUUUGUCCAGGAAGUUAUUAUCCUGAGUGCAGUUUUUUCAUUUGCCAGUUUAGGGCCUGUUAGAGGUUGAAUUAAAAUAAACUUUCAACAUGAAAGUUGUAGAUAAGUUGCUGUAGAUGCUUAUACACUUAUAAUUUGUCCGAAUUCCUCUUCUAUAUCGAAUCAUAUAAAAAUAUUAAAGGAGGUUGUACUAUGUUGGACAGAAUUUUAUUCUCAGCUUCAUCGGCGUCAGCUUCAUCACCAAGAGGACGGACUCCGGAAGGCAGCCCCCUCCUAAGGCGCCAGGGCCGGUAACUCCCGAAACGUCCAUCCUUCCUAACAUUAUUUUCUGGUGAUGCACCGUUAGGGUUCGUGUUCAUUGCCAUUUUGGAUUCAUAUGUGAAGUCUAUUGUUGUUAAUUACAGUUAACUAAUUUCUUAAUUCAUGGUUGUUUUAGUUGCUGACCAUAUGAUUGGUAGCCUUGGACAGAAGAGGGCCAGCAACAAACAGAAGCAACCACUGUCCUGUCCAGAACAUGUAUAUCUUCAGUUUUGGUUGCCUUCCGUUUACUUGCCAACAAGCGACACUGAGCUCACAUAUUUAUUGUUUGCUUUGUUAUAUACUUAAUCUGCUAGACAAAGUGUAAAAGGGAAAUUCAUGCUCGACAAUUUUGUAUAUUUAUAAACCUAGAUGCUACUCUAAUUGGUUUUACUUCUUCCAUAUAUUUUCUCCUCCCAGUGUGUAUAAACAGUGCACAAAGUUAAUUUCUUUUCCGUCUUGACCGCAUCUAAUUUUAAAGAAAAUAGAGAGGAAUCUGAGAGAUACACAACCAGAAGAAUUUUGUUUCUUUGACUUAUCAAUCAUGUCUAACUUUUGGUAAAAGAGAGGAAUUUGAGAUAGAUAGAUAGCCUGAACAGCUUUGAACAGCUUUGAACAUCCGAGUAUGCUGCCGGCCUCCUCGCCGUGCACCAGUGUGUGGCAGCUGCUGAGAUGUGCGCAGUUUACUCCCGGUUCCGUGAUGGUGUUGAAAAGCACCUUAACUGAGCCAAGGAAUUUAGUAGCAUUGUGGGACGAUUAACCAAAUUUUUUCCUCUUCCUAUACUAUCUUCUCAUAUUAUAAUUUUGGUGUCCUGGUAGGCAGGGAUCAGCUUUGGUGGCAUCCGAUGCUGCCAGGCCACGGGGUUAGAGCAGAGGAGGCUGACAUGGUGUUCGACAUUCAGAUGGUCAUUGUGAUCGACCAGAUGCGGCGCCUCAUGUCACCCCGAGCCUCCAGGACUUGUUAGCGGUGCUCAUAAAGUAAGCUCAUAGAGUAAGAAUAUGCUUGCAAGUGCUCAUUUCCCAUAUGCUUGCCCACUCCUGUCUCGCAUCAAGCUUUCAUUUAUUUCCCUAAAAUUCCUCUAAUUUUGUUGUGUGCAUGUCUGAGAAAGAAAUAAGAGGAAUAAGCUAUGGUACGUCUUGGCGAAGUACAUUAUUUCCCUGGCUUGUGAAGUUAAUGCGCCCAAAUUCGCGUACAGUCUGGUUUCGGACUAACAAUGGCUCCUUGUGUUAUAUUGCAACUAGAAAAAGAGAUGGGCAUAAUAAAGAAGCUUGGUGAACAAAUAUAUAUCUGAACCCUCUACACAGUAUAGAUGCUAUAAUUUUUGUUAAAUGGAAGUUAGAUUCAGAUUCUUAAAAAUAUUAUCAUUCAGUCCUAUACAUACAAAGUACCUGCAACCCGCAUCUCUAAACAACGCGAACCUAUCCACAAUCAUAAACUUGUGUAUUGAUCCUCCAUUCAGAUUUCUUAUUAGCUCAUUCUGGCCUGUGUGAAAUUUUUGUGUUUGCUUUACAAUGGCCCAAUGCAUUUCGGUCGAUAUAUAUGUGAUGCCAUUGGUUGGCCUGGAUCGGAUAGCUAGGUUUGAUCGAUUCGGUUAAUAUAUGUUUAUGUUUCUGUUUAGGUUUCAGCACCUUUUGAUGCGUGUGCGUGCUGCCAUUGAUUAACUUCAUCUGUUUUGCUGGCUAUUCUAUGUGCAUUUACAUGUAUAGGAUAGUCAUUUUGAUUCAGUUAAGAUAUGUUCAGAUUUCUGUUUAGAUUUCGGCACCUUUUAAAUGUGCUACCAUGGGGUAACCUGAGUCUAUUUUAAUGGCAACGGGACCUGCAAGUGCAUGGCCCACUGCUAAUAGUCCUAGAAGCGAUCGAAAUUGUUGCUAUUUUGACUUUGUCUGCUACAUGGACUGCUAUUCUGAUCUCUAUGUUUUCCCAUUGCUUCAUUCAGUAUGUCCACGUAAAACCAGAAAUUACAUGCAUUUGAAUGAUGAUAGCUUAGCACUCGAUGAUAAAUGUGAUGUUGUUUUAUGUUAAUGUGAAACCCGAUCUAUCGGUUGUUAGUUUGAAUCAGUACCCAAGCCAUCCUCCUCACUGCCCUCCUCUUAGUUAUUUAGGUAGUUCUUCCUUCUUGGGUAACAAUGAGAAAACGAUUAGGUUGGUUACACAGUAUACUUCAUGAUUGCGGUAGGCACAAAAUGCUUGGCAGACUAAAAUAACUAUGCCUCAUUUCUAUUAUCAAGCUCUAAGUGUAUAUUGAGAUGCCUUUGUACAAUGGAAGAUCCAUGGGGUUGUUUGUUUGCUUGUAGAUUUUCGUGCAGAUAUUUGAAUUGUGCAAAUUUUUAAUUUGAGUUAUAAUUUGUUGUCUCUCGAUGUCGCUAAUUUUGUAUGAGCUGGAGGUGACCAUUAUCAUGUUCUUUCUAUUUUUUAUAGACAAUGUUUUAUUUCUAAUAUUUAGUUUCAUUCCAAGAUUAAUGAUGCUUUCACUCUGUUUUCAAAUUGACAAUUUCCGCCGACCGUUGUUGCACUCAAUGAUGGUUGAUGCCAACGUCGUCCAUUAGCAUUUAUUAUGUUGAAAAUUGCUUCACUCGGUCAUCUCUGCUUUUGACGCCACAAAAACAUGUGACAACUAAUUUAUGCUUGAUUAUUUGCUCAUUUUUAUUCCUUAUACAUUUAGCUCUUGUCCUUGAUUAGUUCAUUUGCAAGGAGAGUGUUUGUGUUCAACAUAAUAUUCCAUUUCCAGGUUUGCACUAAAACUAACUGCAAUAGAAGAAAGUGCAUGAAGAAUGAACAAGGAAAAGCUACAGAUUGAUAUGUAUAGGUUACAAAUUUUUCUACCUCCACCCCAUAUUCCCACUUAUGGUUCAGUGAAGAGUAUGAUUUCUCGCUUGGGAGGAUGCCAUACACAAGAUAUGCAUUUGUUUCCGAUGCCUUUUCAUUACAGUUGCUUUUGUUUAAAUUAUAAAGAGUUAAAUACAUCAUGAGUGCCUAAACUUGUUCGUUGCGCUCAGUUUAGUGCCUAAACUUGUAAAAUACAAAAAAAAUGGUGCUAUAACUUGUCGCACGGUGCAUAUACGGUGCCUCCACCCGUAUGCCAUCGUAUUUGCUCUCUGUGUGGCGUGACAACUGGCAGCUGGCCCACAGAUCAGUGGGUGAGCGUUGUCUGCGCUGGGUGAAAUGCAUACGAGUUGUUUUUGCAGAAAUUUACGUGAGAUUUAAUUAAAGUCACAAAUAAGCCAUUGUUCUAUAUGCUAAUAACAGGAAAAAAAUUACUGUGUCAUUGAAUUGGUUUUGACCUUGGGACCUCCAGGUUAAAUAGCACGCACGCUAGACGCCAAGACUAAUAUUACUUAUACAAUCUACUAUCGCUCUGCAAUUUCCAUUAUAUUGUUUUCAAGUUACCGUUUGGUUUUUACAAUAUAUGUAAAAUUUCCAAUAUACAAAUACGCAACAAUUGUCUAUUAAAAUCUUUAUUCUAUUUUUAUUAUUUGUAGUUUGAAGAGGUAAACCCGAACUGUUUGUAAAAUUUAUAUGGAUUUAAAAAGUUCAACAUAUAUUAUAAAAUAUUGCCUAACUUUUUUGUAUCUUCAUCCAGAACUAUUUUGUAUCUUCAUUGUAUUUUUAAAAUACAUAAUUAUUUAAAAAUCAACAAAGUUGUAUUUUGAAAAUUGUUCAAUAUGUAUUAAAAAUGAUUGUGUAAAAAGAAUAAAUUCAAUAAAUGGGUUAAAACAUGUUAAACGUGUUUGUAGAAAUGUAAGAAUAAUUUUACACAAUAAUUAUUUUAAUACAUAUAGAACAUUUUAUGAAAUUGAUGUUGUAAUUUUUUUUGAAUGCGUGACGGUCAUUUUUCAAAUACACGUUUACAAUGUCUUAAUAGAAGUGAGAAUUUUCCAAAAAUAUGUUGACUUUUUGGAAAAAUACACGUUGAAAAUGCACUGUUCUUGGCCUAUUGGUUAGCACAUGUGCACAUUGUGCGCGAGGUAAUGAAGUCGAAUGCUGCCGGUGUGUGCUCUUUUUUCUUGUUAUUACACUCUAUUUUAUCCCACAUGCUGACAUGCAGGGCGUAGAUCUGACAGAUGAGGUAAAUGCAGUUUGGCAUAUUUAAAUAAAAAAUAUCAGGAGGUUUUGUGAAAAUUAUUUAAAGUACAAGGAAUUUUCUGUAAAACAACUAGCACACACCUCUCACAGGAAUUGACAUGUGGGUCGACGCCAUGUUGACACACCAUGUGGGCUUUGCAUAUGCCUAAAUACGGACAGAGGCACUGUAUUUGAACGUUCAAACAAGUUACGACACCAGUUUCAUGUAUUUUACAAGUUUAGGCAUCAAAGUGAUCGCAUCGGACAAGUUGAGGCACCCGUGAUGUAUUUAGCUCAAUUAUAAAAGCAGCCUUCUAGAGCAGAUCAUUUUUUAUGGAUAUAUGACGACAGGUUUGCGAUUGCAUUGUCAAAAGCAAACCUAGGGUGUUUGAUGUUUCCAUGUAGUUUUAAAACAACCUCCUAGCACUGUUCAUUAUAUAUAUACAUUGAUGCGCUUCUCCAUAUUUGAGGCAUCGUUUGGGUUUUAUCUACUUGUCCAUGAAGGAUGCUUCAUGAGGAAAAUUCCUCAUAUAAUAUUUUUUGAGAGGAAGAGUUUAGGGAGUACUAUAAUUCUGAAGAUAUGCCAGAGAAUUGAAUAUGAACUCACAUAAAGAAUCGAGAUUACAAACGUAGAGGCUUCACUAGAAGAGAGGCCCUUUCUGUAGAUCACAAGAGACAUGUUUUUUGUAGGUACAAGAACCAUAUUUCUAUUUACGAUUAUCUCCUAGCAAUGAAAGUCGUAUGUGACAAACAUGAAUAAGCUAGGGGAAAGGUCAACUGCUCUCUUCCUUUUUGUUUUGAGUGUUAACUUCUGUUUUCAAUUUCCAACUUUGUGCAACUAUUUUCUAUAUAUGUAUAGGUGCUUGCUAUGUUAGAGAUAAAAAAGGAUCUUGGUUACAGCAAGCCACGUGGGGGUUACAGCAAGCCACGUGAGCACAUGGCAUGGAGAAAUGCCAGUGUUCUUGAAAUCCCUUGUUGCAUUUGUUCUUUGUCCUUCUGGGAUGUUACUAAGACAUCCUUUACUAAGACAUCAUUUUCUUAGGUAUUGAGUAGGAUUUUAGCUGCACAACUUGUUGAAAAAAAUCAAUGCUUAAGUUGACGAUAAGGUGAUGUUUGGCCUUGGCCUUUUGUUCUAAUCAUUUGUUGUUAUUAUCACAUAUCAUUUCAUCAUUUUUUUUGGCUUCAUUCUUUCCUUCCUGCUUGCGGCAGGUAGAAGACUCGGGUAAUGGGCAGGUAGAAGACUCGGGCAACGGUUAAUUGACAAGCACUAUAUACACAAUGCAUCUCUGCUAAUAUAGCUUACUUUAUAAAGCCAUCAAUGUAUGCUAUUAUCAAGUGAUUUGAAUAUUUUAUUUUAAGCUAUCAUAUAAUGGAAUAUAAGUAUCCAUUAACUUGGUUCUAAACCAGUCUAAUAUGCAUGGUUUGAAUGCUCGGCUUGCUCUCCUUUUUGCGUGAUAUGAAUAUUUUCUUUUAAGCUAUAAUGUAAUGGAAUGUAAGCAUUUAUUAAGUUGGUUUAAAUCAAUCUCAUAUGCAUGAUUUUAAUACUCGGCUGGCUCUUUCCUUUUGCGCUAUGGGCGCAAC